CUGGCUCAGGAUGAACGCUAGCUACAGGCUUAACACAUGCAAGUCGAGGGGCAGCAGGAUCUAGCAAUAGAUUGCUGGCGACCGGCGCACGGGUGAGUAACACGUAUCCAACCUGCCGAUAACUCGGGGAUAGCCUUUCGAAAGAAAGAUUAAUACCCGAUGGUAUAAUCAGACCGCAUGGUCUUGUUAUUAAAGAAUUUCGGUUAUCGAUGGGGAUGCGUUCCAUUAGGCAGUUGGUGAGGUAACGGCUCACCAAACCUUCGAUGGAUAGGGGUUCUGAGAGGAAGGUCCCCCACAUUGGAACUGAGACACGGUCCAAACUCCUACGGGAGGCAGCAGUGAGGAAUAUUGGUCAAUGGGCGCAGGCCUGAACCAGCCAAGUAGCGUGAAGGAUGACUGCCCUAUGGGUUGUAAACUUCUUUUAUAUGGGAAUAAAGUUUUCCACGUGUGGAAUUUUGUAUGUACCAUAUGAAUAAGGAUCGGCUAACUCCGUGCCAGCAGCCGCGGUAAUACGGAGGAUCCGAGCGUUAUCCGGAUUUAUUGGGUUUAAAGGGAGCGUAGGUGGACAGUUAAGUCAGUUGUGAAAGUUUGCGGCUCAACCGUAAAAUUGCAGUUGAUACUGGCUGUCUUGAGUACAGUAGAGGUGGGCGGAAUUCGUGGUGUAGCGGUGAAAUGCUUAGAUAUCACGAAGAACUCCGAUUGCGAAGGCAGCUCACUGGACUGCAACUGACACUGAUGCUCGAAAGUGUGGGUAUCAAACAGGAUUAGAUACCCUGGUAGUCCACACAGUAAACGAUGAAUACUCGCUGUUUGCGAUAUACAGUAAGCGGCCAAGCGAAAGCAUUAAGUAUUCCACCUGGGGAGUACGCCGGCAACGGUGAAACUCAAAGGAAUUGACGGGGGCCCGCACAAGCGGAGGAACAUGUGGUUUAAUUCGAUGAUACGCGAGGAACCUUACCCGGGCUUAAAUUGCAUUUGAAUAUAUUGGAAACAGUAUAGCCGUAAGGCAAAUGUGAAGGUGCUGCAUGGUUGUCGUCAGCUCGUGCCGUGAGGUGUCGGCUUAAGUGCCAUAACGAGCGCAACCCUUAUCUUUAGUUACUAACAGGUCAUGCUGAGGACUCUAGAGAGACUGCCGUCGUAAGAUGUGAGGAAGGUGGGGAUGACGUCAAAUCAGCACGGCCCUUACGUCCGGGGCUACACACGUGUUACAAUGGGGGGUACAGAAGGCAGCUACCUGGUGACAGGAUGCUAAUCCCAAAAGCCUCUCUCAGUUCGGAUCGAAGUCUGCAACCCGACUUCGUGAAGCUGGAUUCGCUAGUAAUCGCGCAUCAGCCAUGGCGCGGUGAAUACGUUCCCGGGCCUUGUACACACCGCCCGUCAAGCCAUGAAAGCCGGGGGUACCUGAAGUACGUAA
rnacentral:rRNA from 1 species